GAGAGCAGAGGAUGAGAAGUAUUAACAUCAGUUAUCCCUGUCUUAAUUACAAUGUCGAGGAUUUUCCAUAAUUCUGAUGCUCUU
rnacentral:snoRNA from 1 species